GACGAACGCUGGCGGCGUGCUUAACACAUGCAAGUCGAACGGAAAGGCCCUGCUUUUGUGGGGUGCUCGAGUGGCGAACGGGUGAGUAACACGUGAGUAACCUGCCCUUGACUUUGGGAUAACUUCAGGAAACUGGGGCUAAUACCGGAUAGGAGCUCCUGCUGCAUGGUGGGGGUUGGAAAGUUUCGGCGGUUGGGGAUGGACUCGCGGCUUAUCAGCUUGUUGGUGGGGUAGUGUCUUAGCAAGGCUUUGCAGGGUAGCAGGCCUGAGAGGGUGACAGGCCACAUCGCGACUGAGAUACGGCCCGGCCUCCUACGGGAGGCAGCAGUGCGGAAUAUUGCACUAUGGGCGGAAGCCUGAUCUAGCACCGCCGCGUGCCGGAUGACGUCCUUCGGGUUGUAAACCGCUUUUGCCUGUCACGAAGCGUGAGUGACGGUAAUGGGUAAAGAAGCACCGGCUAACUACGUG
rnacentral:rRNA from 1 species